UACGGGGGGGGUAAGCGUUGUUCGGAAUUACUGGGCGUAAAGGGCUCGUAGGCGGCCAACUAAGUCGGACGUGAAAUCCCUCAGCUUAACUGGGGAACUGCGUCCGAUACUGGAUGGCUUGGAUUUGGGAGAGGGAUGCGGAAUUCCAGGUGUAGCGGUGAAAUGCGUAGAUAUCUGGAGGAACACUGGUGGCGAAGGCGGCAUCCUGGACCAAUAUUGACGCUGAGGAGCGAAAGCCAGGGGAGCAAACGGG
rnacentral:rRNA from 1 species